GACGAGGGGCUCAAGUAAAUGUUUUUAGUUUAGUAGUUAGAUGAUUAUUUAUNGAAAGUAGGUUUAGUCUUNUUGGGUGAAAUUUUAAGAUUAAUUAAUUUCUUNAAUUGNUUUUGAAGCUAUGAAAUUUAAAUUUUAAACUAGGAUUAGAUACCCUAUUAUUUUAAAUGUAAAGGUUGAAUGCUUGAGUAGUAGUAGUUAUGGUCUUGAAACUCAAAGAAUUUGGCGGUGCUUUAGUCCUUUCAGAGGAACCUGUCCCGUAAUCGAUAGUCCACGUUAUAUCUUACUUAAUUUUGUAUUCAGCUUGUAUACCUCCGUCUUCAGAAUAUCCUAUGAGGGUUGAUGAAUUUUCUAAAUUCUUUAUGAAGGAAUUAUGUCAGGUCAAGGUGCAGUUUAUGGUUAAGUGGCGAUGGGUUACAAUAAAUUUAUUUAUACGGAAAUUGACUUGAAACUUAGUUGAUUUAAGGUGGAUUUGAAGGUAAUUUUGUUUAUAAAAUUAAAUUGAUUUUGGCUCUAAAGCAUGCACACAUCGCCCGUCGCUCUCGUUAAUUAAGAUGAG
rnacentral:rRNA from 1 species